rnacentral:rRNA from 1 species
CAGCAGCCGCGGUAAUACGGAGGGUGCAAGCGUUAAUCGGGAUUACUGGGCGUAAAGCGCACGCAGGCGGUUUGUUAAGUCAGAUGUGAAAUCCCCGAGCUUAACUUGGGAACUGCAUUUGAAACUGGCAAGCUAGAGUCUUGUAGAGGGGGGUAGAAUUCCAGGUGUAGCGGUGAAAUGCGUAGAGAUCUGGAGGAAUACCGGUGGCGAAGGCGGCCCCCUGGACAAAGACUGACGCUCAGGUGCGAAAGCGUGGGGAGCAAACAGGAUUAGAUACCCCUGUAGUCCCUGUCUCUUAUAC